rnacentral:ncRNA from 1 species
AGAUAGAGGUAGCGGCCGACAUCAGUAAGCGUGGCCAGGGAGCCGGUUCCCGUCCAUCCACGCCCAAAGGGAAGGCCGCCGAAGGGCCCCCCUGCCCGGAGGGGGCGGGCCCUGGUCGCCGGGUCAACAGCCUUUCGACUGUCAUCAGGGUGGUACCCUGAUGGAGCGCUGUCUG